rnacentral:rRNA from 1 species
UGGGGAAUAUUGGACAAUGGGCGCAAGCCUGAUCCAGCGACGCCGCGUGUGUGAAGAAGGCCUGCGGGUUGUAAAGCACUUUCGAUGGGAACGAAAUGUGCCGGGUUAAUACCCCGGUAAGCUGACGUUACUCAAUGAAGAAGCACCGGCUAACUCUGUGCCAGCAGCCGCGGUAAUACAGAGGGUGCGAGCGUUAAUCGGAAUUACUGGGCGUAAAGCGCACGUAGGUGGGCCGUUAAGUUAGGGGUGAAAUCCCGAGGCCCAACCUCGGAACUGCCUCUAAAACUGGCGGCCUGGACCUAAGUAGAGGCAAGUGGAAUUGCGAGUGUAGAGGUGAAAUUCGUAGAUAUUCGCAGGAACACCAGUGGCGAAGGCGACUUGCUGGACUUAUGGUGACGCUGAGAUGCGAAAGCGUGGGGAGCAAACAGGAUUAGAUACCCAGGUAGUCCCUGAGCGGGCUGGCAAGGCGCAU